GGGGGCUGGUGUAACGGCAACACAUCGGGUUCAUGCCCCGAAACUCUGGGUUCGAGUCCCAGGCCCCCGCCG
rnacentral:tRNA from 1 species